UGCAAGUCGAACGAUGAAGCCCUUCGGGGUGGAUUAGUGGCGAACGGGUGAGUAACACGUGGGCAAUCUGCCCUUCACUCUGGGACAAGCCCUGGAAACGGGGUCUAAUACCGGAUAAUACCUGCUCAGGCAUCUGGGUGGGUUGAAAGCUCCGGCGGUGAAGGAUGAGCCCGCGGCCUAUCAGCUUGUUGGUGAGGUAGUGGCUCACCAAGGCGACGACGGGUAGCCGGCCUGAGAGGGCGACCGGCCACACUGGGACUGAGACACGGCCCAGACUCCUACGGGAGGCAGCAGUGGGGAAUAUUGCACAAUGGGCGAAAGCCUGAUGCAGCGACGCCGCGUGAGGGAUGACGGCCUUCGGGUUGUAAACCUCUUUCAGCAGGGAAGAAGCGAAAGUGACGGUACCUGCAGAAGAAGCGCCGGCUAACUACGUGCCAGCAGCCGCGGUAAUACGUAGGGCGCAAGCGUUGUCCGGAAUUAUUGGGCGUAAAGAGCUCGUAGGCGGCUUGUCACGUCGGGUGUGAAAGACCGGGGCUUAACUCCGGUUCUGCAUUCGAUACGGGCUAGCUAGAGUGUGGUAGGGGAGAUCGGAAUUCCUGGUGUAGCGGUGAAAUGCGCAGAUAUCAGGAGGAACACCGGUGGCGAAGGCGGAUCUCUGGGCCAUUACUGACGCUGAGGAGCGAAAGCGUGGGGAGCGAACAGGAUUAGAUACCCUGGUAGUCCACGCCGUAAACGGUGGGAACUAGGUGUUGGCGACAUUCCACGUCGUCGGUGCCGCAGCUAACGCAUUAAGUUCCCCGCCUGGGGAGUACGGCCGCACGGCUAAAACUCAGAGGAAUUGACGGGGGCCCGCACAAGCAGCGGAGCAUGUGG
rnacentral:rRNA from 1 species